UACGAAGGGGGCUAGCGUUGUUCGGAAUUACUGGGCGUAAAGCGCGCGCAGGCGGUCUUCCAAGUCAGUGGUGAAAGCCCGGAGCUCAACUCCGGAACUGCCAUUGAAACUGUUGGACUUGAGGACGAGAGAGGUGAGUGGAAUUCCCAGUGUAGAGGUGAAAUUCGUAGAUAUUGGGAAGAACACCGGUGGCGAAGGCGGCUCACUGGCUCAUUACUGACGCUCAGGCGCGACAGCGUGGGGAUCAAACAGG
rnacentral:rRNA from 1 species